rnacentral:rRNA from 1 species
CCAUGGCUCAGAUUGAACGCUGGCGGCAGGCCUAACACAUGCAAGUCGAGCGGAUGAGAGGAGCUUGCUCCUGGAUUCAGCGGCGGACGGGUGAGUAAUGCCUAGGAAUCUGCCUGGUAGUGGGGGACAACGUUUCGAAAGGAACGCUAAUACCGCAUACGUCCUACGGGAGAAAGCAGGGGACCUUCGGGCCUUGCGCUAUCAGAUGAGCCUAGGUCGGAUUAGCUAGUUGGUGAGGUAAUGGCUCACCAAGGCGACGAUCCGUAACUGGUCUGAGAGGAUGAUCAGUCACACUGGAACUGAGACACGGUCCAGACUCCUACGGGAGGCAGCAGUGGGGAAUAUUGGACAAUGGGCGAAAGCCUGAUCCAGCCAUGCCGCGUGUGUGAAGAAGGUCUUCGGAUUGUAAAGCACUUUAAGUUGGGAGGAAGGGCAGUAAAUUAAUACUUUGCUGUUUUGACGUUACCGACAGAAUAAGCACCGGCUAA